rnacentral:rRNA from 1 species
GACGAACGCUGGCGGCGUGCUUAACACAUGCAAGUCGAACGGAAAGGCCCUGCUUUUGUGGGGUGCUCGAGUGGCGAACGGGUGAGUAACACGUGAGUAACCUGCCCUUGACUUUGGGAUAACUUCAGGAAACUGGGGCUAAUACCGGAUAGGAGCUCCUGCUGCAUGGUGGGGGUUGGAAAGUUUCGGCGGUUGGGGAUGGACUCGCGGCUUAUCAGCUUGUUGGUGGGGUAGUGGCUUACCAAGGCUUGGACGGGUAGCCGGCCUGGGAGGGUGACCGGCCACAUUGGGACUGAGGUACGGCCCAGACUCAUACGGGAGGCAGCAGUGGGGAAUAUUGCACAAUGGGCGGAGGCCUGAUGCAGCAACGCCGCGUGCGGGAGGACGGCUUUCGGGUUGUAAACCGCUUUCGCCUGUGACGAGGCGUGAGUGACGGAAAUGGGUAAAGAAGCACCGGCUAACUACGG